GCUGAAAUAGUUUAAAUGGUCAAAACUUACCAUUCAUGACGGUAAAAAGUAGGUUCAAAUCCUUCUUUCGGCU
rnacentral:tRNA from 1 species